rnacentral:rRNA from 1 species
UACAGGGGGGCAAGCGUUGUUCGGAAUUACUGGGCGUAAAGGGCCAGUAGGCGGCCAACUAAGUCACACGUGAAAUCCCCAGGCUUAACCUGGGAACUGCGUGUGAUACUGGAUGGCUUGAAUUCGGGAGAGGGAUGCAGAAUUCCAGGUGUAGCGGUGAAAUGCGUAGAUAUCUGGAGGAAUACCGGUGGCGAAGGCGGCAUCCUGGACCGACAUUGACGCUGAACGGCGAAAGCUAGGGGAGCAAACAGG